rnacentral:ncRNA from 1 species
UCUACGGAGAGUUUGAUCCUGGCUCAGGACGAACGCUGGCGGCGUGCUUAACACAUGCAAGUCGAACGAGGGCGCCUCUUCGGGGGUGUUCCUAGUGGCGAACGGGUGAGUAACACGUGGGCAACCUGCCCCCGGCUCUGGGAUAACUCCAAGAAAUUGGGGCUAAUACCGGAUGUUCACUGCUGUCCGCAUGGAUGGUGGUGGAAAGGGUUUCCGGCUGGGGAUGGGCCCGCGGCCUAUCAGCUUGUUGGUGGGG